CCCUGGUUAGCUCAAUUGGUAGAGCGCUCCACUGGAGAUGGCGAGGCCCCGGGUUCGAUGACCGGACCAGGCA
rnacentral:tRNA from 2 species